AUGCUUUGAAAUUAUAUUAUGUCUACUUUUUUUUAAACCACACUUGCCGUCAUACCUCUGAAUUUUAAAAUGGAAAUUGUGCCAAAAGUUUUAGUAAAAAGUAACUAGUUAGGUUUUUUUUUGUUUUCUUGCUAGCUAGCUUUAAUGCCUUGUAAUGGUUUAUAUCCAGCCUGGCUAUGGUCACUAUGGUAUUCCAUGGAGUACAUUUGACAAGAAAAUGCAGAGUGUCACAUGUAAUUUUAGUUUUGUGGCAAACCGUUUUAUGUAAAAGUAUCAAUAUAAAAAGGUUUUACUGUACUGAUUUAAGCCCUUACCAUUAUAUAAGUUAUAUAUCUAGACAUGCUAGCAAGCCAAUUAUCAAUCACAGAAUUAAUUGAUAUUUCUAUGCACUAGCUAACUUAAACACAAGACCUUGUUUAUAUUAAGCUGUACAAAGUUACAUUUUAAAAUGAAAGACAGGGAAGAAAAGUAUUCAGACACAAUAUUAAAACUGGAUGGAAAAUUUCAUGCAGCAAGUAGAAAUCAUGGGGAAGGUAAAAAAGAUUCUUCAAGGACAACAAUAUUUAUAUAUAUAUAUAAAAAUAAAUAAAUAAAUAAAUAAAUAAAUAAAUAAACACUUGAUUGGAAAAAAGCUACAGAGCUGUAACAAAGACCUAAACAUCCCGGUCACUACAAGUGGUAUAAAAACGUGCAGGUGGAAAGUUCAUGGAACCACCACUGAUUGUCCCUGGACAGGUAUACCACACGAGAUUUCAAAAUGCUCUCUCAGACUAAAUGAUAAGGAAGGGAAGAGAGAAACCAGCAGUCACUGGAAAAGAGUUGCAGGUCGACCUGAAAGCAGCAGGAACAACAAUUACACAGUGAACAAUUAUCAAUAAACUGCACCACAAUCAUCUCUGGGAACAAUAUACACUGGUCAAACAGAAAAUAAAAAAAAUAGAACUCUCUGGCAUGUAUUCAGCUUGUAAUGUUUGAAGAAAGAAGGAUUGCAUAUAUGAUCCCUAAAACACCAUACCCACAGUGAAGUAUCAUGAUAACUGAAAUUGAAACUGAAACUAGGAGCAUCAUGAUACAGGGCUGCUUCUCUUCAAACAGUACUGGGGCAUAACACAUCAUAGAAGGAAAUAUGAAUGGGGUGAUGUACUAGAAAACGUUAGAGGAGAAUUUAAUCUCAUGGGUCAAGAAACUGAAUCUAGGGAGAAGAUGAACACUUCAACAAGACAAAAGACCCCAAACAAACAUCCAAAAUUAGUCAAGAAGGACUUGCAUGGCCUAAAUAAUCUCCAUCAAAGGGACCCAAAAUUUAACCACAAUUCUGCAAAAAGCUCAUUACUUUUCCCUU
ensembl:lncRNA